CCCUUAGAUGUUCUGGGCGGCCCGCGCACUACAAUGGCGUGUGCAGCGAGUGCCGAAGUAGAGUUUUCCGAGGUAUUCUUGCAAUGCUCGUUUUGAUGGGGAUAGACCCUUGCAACUGUUGGUUUUGAACGAGGAAUUCCUUGUAAGCAUGGUUUAUCAUCCGACGCUGAAUGCGUCCCUGCCCUUUGUACACACCGCCCGUCGCUCCUACCGAUUGAAUGUUCCGGUGAGCUCUUCGGACUGCGCGGUCUGCAGUUUCUGCGUUCCGUGCGGAAAGUUGUGCAAACCUUAACAUUUAGAGGAAGGAGAAGGCGUAACA
rnacentral:rRNA from 1 species